GAUUCGGCUACAAUUUCGCUGGAGUUUAGCAAUGGGGCUGCGGCUUUCGAAACUAAACGAAGGUUCGGUUAGCUUUUUUGGCUACUUUGGUCCCAGCUUCCACCUUCGCAGUUCGCCAUUGUAGUAUUCUACAUUAAUUGGUUUUUUUCUUCUACAAGAGAUGCCAUUAAAGCAAGCUCUGCUCAAAAGUCUCUCUCCAGUUGCAGAAGAGGUGAAAUUGCUUUUGCAGUUUUUAGCUCUUUAUUUUAAUUUCAAAGAUUUUCAGCCAAUAAUCAAAGCAGUAAAGUUCAUAAAUUUGGAAAAAUAAUCAAACCAGCAUAGCUACUCAGGUUUUAUUUUGCAGGUUCUACAUUGGAUGCUCAAGUAAACAGAAAACUACAGAAUUAUGCUUUACUUUGAAAUAUGAUUUUCACAACCUUCUUCAAUAGUUUAUUUGUAUUCUUCUUUGGUUUGAUUUCUUCCUUCUCCUCUGUAUUGCUUACUUCCUCAUAGUUCUUCUCUGGUUUGAUUUCUUUCUUGUCCUCUCUAUUGCUUUCUUCCAUACAAAAACGGUAACUUCUGAGGUAUCUCUGCCUGCAAAUAAAGCGAUCAUGGCAGACAUCUACAUUCAAGCUUUUGAAAACCAAGAAUGCUGCAUCAGCCUGUGGCCAUGGAUAUAGAUUCUUGAAACUUACUGUAAGAUGGACUGGGGUAUCAGAAUCCCAUUCAGUUAAACUGGAUUUAGUCAUCUUUCUUCGAUGAUGAUCUUCUUCUCCCUUUGAACUCUGUGUGUCUUUGAUCAUAAGCAUGUCUUUAUGUAUCAUUAAGAACCCACAACUAAAAUAGAAUUGGAAAUGGAUUAGGAAUAAGUCUUCAAAUCCUA